CGUCAUCAAAUCGCGCCGAAAUCAAACACAUCGUAAACAGGAGCAGAAACAACGUUGAGAAACGAGUUUUGGUGGGAAUUUAAAGGUUUGAAUAGGAGGGAAGCUGCUCUUUAUUAUUCAGAUCUGCUGCCGGGGGGCUGUGGUCACACCUGAGAUGAGCAGCCCGAUGGCCUCCAGCUCUAAAGAGCGUCCAGCCAACAGAACCAGCUUCAUCCCCGAGCUGCAGAGCAUGAUCAGAGGUCUGGUGUCGGUGGUCAGAGAGCCUCAAACCAAACUAAACUAAACUAAACCCCAAAACCUGAAAACCCAUCGCUCAGAACAACCCACAGUCCCAACCUGAGCGGGUGACUGACAGCUGCCGACAGCCAAUCCCAGCGCAGAUAGAGCGGGGGGGAGGAGGGGGGGUGAGGGCGAGGAAGGAGCUCCAGGAUGUGGCUUCAGGUCAGACGGCCUGGAAGUGGCUUU